rnacentral:rRNA from 1 species
AGAGCGAACGCUGGCGGCAUGCUUAACACAUGCAAGUCGCACGGGCAGGGGAAACCCUGUCAGUGGCGGACGGGUGAGUAACGCGUAGGUAUCUAUCCUUGGGUGGGGGAUAACGGUUGGAAACGACUGCUAAUACCGCAUGAUAACUGAGGUUUAAAGGCGCAAGUCGCCUGGGGAGGAGCCUGCGUACGAUUAGCUUGUUGGUGGGGUAAAGGCCUACCAAGGCGACGAUCGUUAGCUGGUCUGAGAGGAUGAUCAGCCACAUUGGGACUGAGACACGGCCCAAACUCCUACGGGAGGCAGCAGUGGGGAAUAUUGGACAAUGGGCGAAAGCCUGAUCCAGCAAUGCCGCGUGUGUGAAGAAGGUCUUCGGAUUGUAAAGCACUUUCGACAGGGACGAUGAUGACGGUACCUGUAGAAGACGCCCGGCUAACUUCGCGCCAGCAGCCGC